rnacentral:rRNA from 1 species
GAUGAACGCUGGCGGCGUGCCUAAUACAUGCAAGUCGAGCGAACGGACGAGAAGCUUGCUUCUCUGAUGUUAGCGGCGGACGGGUGAGUAACACGUGGAUAACCUACCUAUAAGACUGGGAUAACUUCGGGAAACCGGAGCUAAUACCGGAUAAUAUUUUGAACCGCAUGGUUCAAAAGUGAAAGACGGUCUUGCUGUCACUUAUAGAUGGAUCCGCGCUGCAUUAGCUAGUUGGUAAGGUAACGGCUUACCAAGGCAACGAUGCAUAGCCGACCUGAGAGGGUGAUCGGCCACACGGGAACUGAGCCACGCUCCCGACUCCUACGGGAGGCACCAGUAGCGAAUCUUCCGCAGUGGGCGAAAGCCUGACGGAGCAACGCCGCGUGAGUGAUGAAGGUCUUCGGAUCGUAAAACUCUGUUAUUAGGGAAGAACAUAUGUGUAAGUAACUGUGCACAUCUUGACGGUACCUAAUCAGAAAGCCACGGCUAACUACGUG